rnacentral:rRNA from 1 species
GACGAACGCUGGCGGCGUGCUUAACACAUGCAAGUCGAACGGAAAGGCCCUGCUUUUGUGGGGUGCUCGAGUGGCGAACGGGUGAGUAACACGUGAGUAACCUGCCCUUGACUUUGGGAUAACUUCAGGAAACUGGGGCUAAUACCGGAUAGGAGCUCCUGCUGCAUGGUGGGGGUUGGAAAGUUUCGGCGGUUGGGGAUGGACUCGCGGCUUAUCAGCUUGUUGGUGGGGUAGUGGCUUACCAAGGCUUUGACGGGUAGCCGGCCUGAGAGGGUGACCGGCCACAUUGGGACUGAGAUACGGCCCAGACUCCUACGGGAGGCAACAGUGGGGAAUAUUGCACAAUGGGCGGAAGCCUGAUGCAGCAACGCCGCGUGCGGGAUGACGGCCUUCGGGUUGUAAACCGCUUUCGCUGUGACGAAGCGUGAGUGACGGCAAUGGGUAAAGAAGCACCGGCUAACUACGUG